CCUACGGGUGGCAGCAGUGGGGAAUAUUGCACAAUGGGGGAAACCCUGAUGCAGCGACGCCGCGUGAGUGAAGAAGUAUCUCGGUAUGUAAAGCUCUAUCAGCAGGGAAGAAAAUGACGGUACCUGACUAAGAAGCCCCGGCUAACUACGUGCCAGCAGCCGCGGUAAUACGUAGGGGGCAAGCGUUAUCCGGAUUUACUGGGUGUAAAGGGAGCGUAGACGGCGCUGCAAGUCCGGAGUGAAAGCCCAUGGCUUAACCGCAGAACUGCAUUUGAAACUGUUGAUCUUGAGUACUGGAGAGGCAGAUGGAAUUCCUAGUGUAGCGGUGAAAUGCGUAGAUAUUAGGAGGAACGCCAGUGGCGAAGGCGGUCUGCUGGACAGCAACUGACGGUGAGGCGCGAAAGCGUGGGGAGCAAACAGGAUUAGAUACCCCAGUAGUC
rnacentral:rRNA from 1 species